GUGCACAGAGUUUGCAGACAAGUUUACACGGCGUUUGUUGUUCUUCAAACAGACACGACGACGAAUUACACUUUGCAUUCAGUAUGGUAUGUGUAGGAGCUGCAUUUAAGUUUAUUGUAUUUGAUUUUAAUUUGUAACUAAUUUUGUGUGCGCCCUCUAUAGGCAGAGCGGCGAGUCUAUAAGGGGGAGUGCAGAGCGCACCUGGGGGGAAGACGGGUCACGGCGCAUACCGUCAUUGACCGCAGUCUCGUUUAAUUAUAUCAAUUACAUGUUUUUUAGGUCAUUGGAGACACCACACAUACUUUUUGGUUUACUUUUAUUUGCAAUAAAACUAUCAGCAACUUUAAGAAUCAACUCUCACUGGAUUUAUUUUGGAUCAAGUCUGCGCGUUUGAUGAACUGUUCCCGUUUCUUCCAAAGUGGUAAAAACAAGAAAAUAUUGGAGAGGUUACAGGACAAACCUGAUUUUUGAGUUUUUGCUACUUCAAUCGUCAAUGACGUGCUGUGGAUGGACACAGGAGGACUUCGAGGACAUUAGGCGGAGCAAAGACAGAGGAAACGCCAGCUUGACGCAUAGCGGAGCAAACAAAGAAACACGUUGGAGGAGAAUGACCUUUUAGGCACUUUGCGGCUUCUGUACCUCCUGGGUUACCGUAGCUCCUUCCGUCUGUCCCUCACAGUGCCGAUUUGCAUUGCUGAGGGAGCAGAGGUGCAGAAAACAAAUGUCCAGAAGGCACAUUAA